GAGGUGGAGAGUGAUGGAGGGGAAGGGCUGAACCGUCCAGGGUCCACUGCAAAGGAGAGAGUGUUUGCUGCAGGAGAAACGCAUGGUGGAGGCGGAGAUGGCAGAGUUGCAGUGGAGACUAGGAGAGCUGCAGUCUCGGAGUUGCAGCCUGGAGCACCAGAUCCAGCAGGAAGAGGAAGAUCUACAGACAGAGGAGGUUGAAGGACCCGCCCUGCGCAGCUGUAGCCACACCCAGCUCAGAGACAUGGGCAAUGCCCUCAACGUCCUGUGACAUCACAGAGCAGGACCAGGAUUCGUGUCUCUCCCCCUGAAGCCAUACUCAGACUCCAGGAUCAGAACAAACACUGAGUCUGUCCAUUAAAGAUGCUACGGCUAAAGUA